AAACCUAGAAAAGCGACGGACAGGGUCCUUUAGUUCAUCACUUUUCUAGAUUUUU
rfam:Solanum tuberosum cultivar DM 1-3 516 R44 scf00237_9, whole genome shotgun sequence.